rnacentral:tRNA from 1 species
GUCCUUUUCGUCUAUCGGCUAGGACAUUGCUUUUUCACAGCAAAAAGAGGAGUUCAAUUCUCCUAGAGGACA